CGGCGAAACACCAGUUCUCAUAUGAUCACCAAAGUUAAGCAAUGUUGAGCUUGGUCAGUACUAAGAUAGGUGACAACUUGAGAAUACCAGGUGCUGUAAG